rnacentral:rRNA from 1 species
GAUGAACGCUGGCGGCGUGCCUAAUACAUGCAAGUCGAGCGAACAGACGAGGAGCUUGCUCCUCUGACGUUAGCGGCGGACGGGUGAGUAACACGUGGAUAACCUACCUAUAAGACUGGGAUGACUUCGGGAAACCGUAGCUAAUACCGGAUAAUAUAUUGAACCGCAUGGUUCAAUAGUGAAAGACGGUUUUGCUGUCACUUAUAGAUGGAUCCGCGCCGCAUUAGCUAGUUGGUAAGGUAACGGCUUACCAAGGCAACGAUGCGUAGCCGACCUGAGAGGGUGAUCGGCCACACGGGAACUGAGACACGGUCCAGACUCCUACGGGAGGCAGCAGUAGGGAAUCUUCCGCAAUGGGCGAAAGCCUGACGGAGCAACGCCGCGUGAGUGAUGAAGGUCUUCGGAUCGUAAAACUCUGUUAUUAGGGAAGAACAAAUGUGUAAGUAACUGUGCACAUCUUGACGGUACCUAAUCAGAAAGCCACGGCUAACUACGUG